CCGGGUCUCAGGAGCGCUCUGUUCCGGUGCUUCCUUCUCUUCUGGCUGUGGUGUCUCUGGUAGCUCUGAAUGGGGCCCGUCCAUCCCUUUGAGCUUCUUGUUCUGUCCUCGUCUUCAGAGUUCUGUUUUACACAGUCCAUAGGGGAGCUGCCUCUGCCCAUGCGGUGCGGAUCCUCAGGCUGCCUGUAGGAGCACAUUGGGGUGCAGAGCGGGACGGGUGCCUUCCUCAUGCAUCAGUCGGUGCCUUGGCCAGGUGCAGACAUGGGCUGGUUGGAGGAGGCUGCGCUGCUCUGGUUCUGUGCGUGUCCAGAUGUCUGUCUGCAAGGCAGAGGGGAUGCACGAGAGGAGCAGCCUCCUGCCCUGCUUCCCUGUG
rnacentral:lncRNA from 1 species